rnacentral:tRNA from 1 species
UCCCUUGUGGCUCAGUGGUAAAGAACCUGCCUUCCAAUGCAGGAGACACAGGUUCAAUCCCUGGUCCGGGAA